rnacentral:snoRNA from 1 species
AUCCAGAGCACGGUGAUGCUUAUGUUCCAAGCACGUAACCGAGCUUAAUGUGUGGAAACAAACCAGUCUGAGUGCUCUGCGU